rnacentral:rRNA from 1 species
UACGAAGGGGGCUAGCGUUGUUCGGAAUUACUGGGCGUAAAGCGCGCGCAGGCGGUCUUCCAAGUCAGUGGUGAAAGCCCGGAGCUCAACUCCGGGUCGGCCGUCGAUACUUCCGGGCUUGAGCACUGUAGAGGCAGAUGGAAUUCCGGGUGUAGCGGUGGAAUGCGUAGAGAUCCGGAAGAACACCGGUGGCGAAGGCGGUCUGCUGGGCAGUUGCUGACGCUGAUGCGCGACAGCGUGGGGAGCAACAGG